GGAAGGUGGGGAUGACGUCAAGUCCUCAUGGCCCUUAUAUCCAGGGCUACACACGUGCUACAAUGGCCGGUACAAAGGGUCGCAAUACCGGCGAGGUGGAGCUAAAUCCCAAAAAGCCGGUCUCAGUUCGGAUUGGAGUCUGCAACUCGACUCCAUGAAGUCGGAAUCGCUAGUAAUCGCGUAUCAGCGUGACGCCGGUGAACUACGUUCUCGGGCCUU
rnacentral:rRNA from 1 species